AACGAACGCUGGCGGCAGGCUUAACACAUGCAAGUCGAACGGUUGUAGCAAUACAGCAGUGGCAGACGGGUGAGUAACACGUGGGAACCUUCCUAGGGGUACGGAACAACUCAGGGAAACUUGAGCUAAUACCGUAUACGUCCGUGAGGAGAAAGAUUUAUCGCCCUUAGACGGGCCCGCGUAGGAUUAGGUAGUUGGUGGGGUAAUGGCCUACCAAGCCUACGAUCCUUAGCUGAUCUGAGAGGAUGAUCAGCCACACUGGGACUGAGACACGGCCCAGACUCCUACGGGAGGCAGCAGUGGGGAAUCUUGGACAAUGGGCGCAAGCCUGAUCCAGCCAUGCCGCGUGAGUGAAGAA
rnacentral:rRNA from 1 species